ensembl:miRNA eca-mir-9170 eca-mir-9170
GAGUCCUGGGCCAUCUAGAGAGGCGGUAGUUACAGGCAUGGGUGUCUUUGGGGUCAGUCAGGCCUGGGUUUGCAUCCUGGCUCUCCCACUUAUUAGCUGUGUGAUCUUGGGCAAGUUUCUU